rnacentral:piRNA from 1 species
UCCAAGGAAUGAAAGCAGGCGCCUCCAGA